CAAGGGUUGGUUUUGGGGUUGCUGUUGUGGGGUUUUUUUUUUUCCCAUCGGAAACUCCCAAUUACUUUAGAACUCCUUGUUUAGUCAGAUAUUUCAGUUUUGCAACACAAAGUUGGAGCUGAUCUCUUCCCUCAUAAAAACUGCUAGUUGGUAGUGGUCAACAGAAGUCUUGACAUAAACAUUAGCAAGGAAGGUUCUUGCUGAGACUCGCAUAGAAAAGCCCAAAGGAAAAAUCGGGAGAACUCGUUUCAGCAUGAAGCUACAAGAUGGAAGAAGUACAUUUAACUCAAACAAAUGCUGUCCCAACAGAUGCAGGAAGAUUUUAUUCCCAAUAAGUACAGUUCCUGCAACAGGAAUCUGGCUCCUCCGAGCACAGCUUCCUCUCCUGCUGCUGAUUGCUGGCCUGCAGAGACCCACGGCUGCAAUUAAAAUCAACUUUGACUUGGCACCAGAUUCCUUUGACGAUCAAUACCAAGGCUGCAGCCAACAGGUCAUGAAGGAGCUAAGUCAAGGGGAUUAUGUCGCAAAAGAAGUAGAAGCCCAGACAAAUUAUUACAAGAUCUGGAAUAAUGCCCAUUUAACCUGGCUGAACCAACCUAAAGCUCUCCCUAAGAACAUGACGAUCACACAUGCUGUGGCCAUCUUGGUUUACACAUUGAACAACCAUGUUCGCUCUGAAUUCACUAGAGCCAUGGCCAGUGCUGCCAGGUCUCCAUGGCAGUAUAAACAUUCAUUCCAUUUCAAAUACCUACAUUACUACCUGACCUCAGCAAUCCAGCUGCUGAGGAAAGGGAUUGCCUUGAAGAAUGACUCUCUGUGCUACCAGGUGCAUCAUGAGGCCGAUUUCUACUUGAAAGCCUACAUAGGUGCCACCCUUCGAUUUGGCCAAUUCCUGCCCACCUCCCUCCUAAGAAAAGAGGCACAGGAGUCUGGGAACCAAACUCUAUUUACCAUACUUACCUGCCUGGGUGCACCUGUACAAGACUUCUCUCUCAGGGAGGAGGUUCUGGUCCCUCCCUAUGAGUUGUUUGAAGUUGUAAAUAUGAGCUACCACCCAAGAGGAAAUUGGUUGCAAUUGAGGUCAACUGGAAAUCUGAGCACAUAUAACUGUCAGCUGCUAAAAGCUUCCAGCAAAAAGUGCAUCCCUGCUCCUGUAGUUAUUGCUGCUCUCUCCUUUUUGACCAUUGUCACCAUCUCUUUAAAAAGUGGAGUAUAGCCCUAACCAGCUUGGCUCAGUGGAUAGAGCGUCAGCCUGCAGACUCAAGGGUCCCAGUCCCAUUCAUUUCCACGUGGAUCCCCCCAGCUGUUGAAACAUUCUGAGACACAAACUACAACCAAGAGGAGGGAAUGAAACCCAGGACACAGACAGGUUCCAAAAAAGCAGCAAAGUGAGAGCAGCACCUCCCUACUCCCAUUUAUAUAUAUGUAUUUUUGAGGGGAGAAUAGCAAAUGAAUCAGCUCAAGAUUUUCCUCAAUAUAAGACACCAAUUAACGGAUAUCUAUUGCAAAUGAACGAGGUUUCAGCUUUGGAGCUGAGACAAAAUGCAGAAUUCAUGUAUUAAAAUGCAUGCUUUUUCCAAGCCCUCUAAACCCUGGAAAGAGUCAAAAUCCCCUUUACCCUCACCACUGGAUAUUGUGAUGGUCUUAUUGUUAGGGAGCAAGGAAAGAAUGCCUUAGUUAAGAUUACAGUGGUAAUUACAAUGACAGCCUUGGCUUUGGAGCUGACAAAAGUGCAACUUUCUUGGCUGGGCUAACAAAAGUGCAACUUUCAAGCAGCCAUAAGUAAGGAGGUUAUCUUGGUGGAGUGACUGCAUAGAAGACUAAAAAGUACAUAGAAUACCUUCUUCUUCCCUCUUCAUCAAAAGCUCGCAAGUAAUUUCU